UGCUUUAUGUCUCCUGUAAAAGUUUAACAAGACCCUCUUCAUUACACAUGCAAGGAUAUCUUCCUUCCUCAAAAACCUGACACUACUUGGAAAGCAAACAUAUCAUCAUAAUUUAUUUUGCCCAAGAAAAGAAUCAUACUUUCAUAUUAUUUCCUGUUAACAUCUGGUUGCUGAAAGAUCCCAUAUUCAUUCUCAAACCACUGUCCUUACCCGAACAUCAUCAAGCACUCUGGCUCCUCUCUUCUUAACUCCAUUUCUUACUUCCUUUAUACGAAGAAGAGGAAAGUGUUGCCUGCUGUUGGUAGUUGCCGCUCUGGCUCCGCUGCCGAUAGCCCGACAUAUUCUCCGAGAUGCAACCUGACCUGCUGAAAACCAAGCUGAACAUGGUCGGAGAAGAAAGAAUAUAUCCACUGCCAUAACCUUCACAUCCACAGCAGCCGGUGGAUAACUGAAGACGAUCCAAGUUCUUCACUCCAACCCAACAUGCAAUUCCUCCAUGGCACAUAUUAAAUUGGCAAUAUCACAAAUCCAAGUGCCAAGCCUAAACAAUAUGAAUUCAUGCAACAAGAAAACAAAAAUAAAUAAGGUAGCAUAGACUGGAGUAGAGGGAGAAGCAGUAAUUGGGUUAUCCUGAGCAUAUUUCUUACAAGAUAUGAGAAGGCUACGAAAGAGAAUAAUAAAAUAUGAAAGAGAGGAUUCUGGGUAAUCACCUGGCCAAUGGAAAUGGCGAUGGCGACAGCAUGGAAGACACAUUCCAGGCUCUAGAGAUUCUCGG
rnacentral:lncRNA from 1 species